rnacentral:sRNA from 1 species
UCAAUUUUAUUAGUUCUAUAGGCAUGGACAUGAUGUGACUAUCAUUUAUCAAAAACUUGAAGUAGGGCUGGUAAUAUUCACAGUGUUCAUUUUGUUCUUAUCAGUGAACUACAAAUUCCAGUCACUUGUUGAAUCUUAAAUUCUGAUUUGCUGUUUUCUUCACAGGCUCAUCUUGCUGAGCUUUGCCGUUCCCCAUGCUACGUUCUGGAGAGGGGCAAGGAUCUCUGGGCCUUAAGUGCAGGAGUCAUGUUGUAGAUGCACCACUUGGUGAUGGGCAACAUAUAGUCACUUUUCUCUGCAUUUUGGCAAAUCAUCACAACUCGCAACAAAGAAAGUCUGUUUGUUUGUUUGUUUCUACAUACCAAAGACUCACAAUGAACAGAUAUGUAUCCCAAUGUUCCCUUCAGUUUCCAUUUUACAUGC